rnacentral:rRNA from 1 species
CGGACGGGUGAGUAAUGUAUAGGAACUUGCCUAGUAUGGGGGACAACGUAUGGAAACGCACGCUAAUACCGCAUACGCUCUACGGAGGAAAGCGGGGGAUCUUCGGACCUCGUGCUACUAGAUGGGCCUAUAUUGGAUUAGCUAGUUGGUAGGGUAAAGGCCUACCAAGGCGACGAUCCAUAGCUGGUUUGAGAGAAUGAUCAGCCACACUGGGACUGAGACACGGCCCAG